GGGACUGGGAUCCUACCUGAUCGAGGUCACCUGAAAAAAGGAUGAUUGGUUGUCGGCUGGCGCCGGCCGGGCCUACAGAGCGGGUGACAAAGCCCCAUACGCUCGAGGACCGGACUCGGUGCCGCCGCUGCCUUUCGGACCCGUCCCCGGGGGGACGGAGCCCAACACACAAGCCGUGCUUGAGGGCAGCAAUGACGCUCGGACAGGCAUGCCCCCCGGAAUACCAGGGGGCGCAAUGUGCGUUCAAAGACUCGAUGAUUCACUGAAUUCUGCAAUUCACAUUAGUUAUCGCAUUUCGCUGCGUUCUUCAUCGAUGCCGGAACCAAGAGAUCCGUUGUUGAAAGUUUUAACUUAUUUAGUUUAUGCUCAGACUGCAAUCUUCAGACAGAGUUCAAUAGUGUCUCCGGUGCGCGCGGACCCGGGGGCAGAAGCCCCCCGGCGGCCGUGAGGCGGGCGCACCGAAGCAACAAGGUACAAUAAACACGGGUGGGAGGUUGGACCCAGAGGGCCCUCACUCAGUAAUGAUCCUUCCGCAGGUACCCCUACGGAAGAACG
rnacentral:misc_RNA from 2 species